rnacentral:rRNA from 1 species
AUUGAACGCUGGCGGCAGGCCUAACACAUGCAAGUCGAACGGUAGCACAGAGAGCUUGCUCUCGGGUGACGAGUGGCGGACGGGUGAGUAACGUCUGGGAAACUGCCCGAUGGAGGGGGAUAACUACUGGAAACGGUAGCUAAUACCGCAUAACGUCGCAAGACCAAAGUGGGGGACCUUCGGGCCUCACACCAUCGGAUGUGCCCAGAUGGGAUUAGCUAGUAGGUGGGGUAAUGGCUCACCUAGGCGACGAUCCCUAGCUGGUCUGAGAGGAUGACCAGCCACACUGGAACUGAGACACGGUCCAGACUCCUAAGGGAGGCAGCAGUGGGGAAUAUUGCACAAUGGGCGCAAGCCUGAUGCAGCCAAGCCGCGUGUAUGAAGAAGGCCUUCGGGUUGUAAAGUACUUUCAGCGGGGAGGAAGGCGGUGAAGUUAAUAACUUCACCGAUUGACGUUACCCGCAGAAGAAGCACCGGCUAACUCCGUGCCAGCCGCCGCGGUAA